AUCUUCCGCAAUGGACGAAAGUCUGACGGAGCAACGCCGCGUGAGUGAUGAAGGUUUUCGGAUCGUAAAGCUCUGUUGUUAGGGAAGAACAAGUACCGUUCGAAUAGGGCGGUACCUUGACGGUACCUAACCAGAAAGCCACGGCUAACUACGUGCCAGCAGCCGCGGUAAUACGUAGGUGGCAAGCGUUGUCCGGAAUUAUUGGGCGUAAAGGGCUCGCAGGCGGUUUCUUAAGUCUGAUGUGAAAGCCCCCGGCUCAACCGGGGAGGGUCAUUGGAAACUGGGGAACUUGAGUGCAGAAGAGGAGAGUGGAAUUCCACGUGUAGCGGUGAAAUGCGUANAUNGNGGAGGAACACCAGUGGCGAAGGCGACUCUNUGGUCUGUAACUGACGCUGAGGAGCGAAAGCGUGGGGAGCGAACAGGAUUAGAUACCCUGGUAGUCCACGCCGUAAACGAUGAGUGCUAAGUGUUAGGGGGUUUCCGCCCCUUAGUGCUGCAGCUAACGCAUUAAGCACUCCGCCUGGGGAGUACGGUCGCAAGACUGAAACUCAAAGGAAUUGACGGGGGCCCGCACAAGCGGUGGAGCAUGUGGUUUAAUUCGAAGCAACGCGAAGAACCUUACCAGGUCUUGACAUCCUCUGACAAUCCUAGAGAUAGGACGUCCCCUUCGGGGGCAGAGUGACAGGUGGUGCAUGGUUGUCGUCAGCUCGUGUCGUGAGAUGUUGGGUUAAGUCCC
rnacentral:rRNA from 1 species